AGAAAAUAGUCAGAAAUUUUAUAAUUUUUAUUUUUUUUAUAAAUAUAAAAAAUGGUCCCAAUGUGCUUUUAAGGUGCUAGAUUCAUCGUAUUAGCUAAUUGUUGUUGGAUAAUUAAGAGACGUUUAGUCCCAAAACCUCUCCAACCCUCCAUUUUUCCUGCUGGAAUAAUCUCUCCAAUAAGCUAGUACAAUAAUUAAGCUACGCAAAUAACUGCUAAAACUUUCCCACCAUCAACAACCCAUUACCAAAAACUAGCCAUUACAACCACAGCCAUUAUUUCUUUGUGUUUUUAUUCUAAAAACAAACUUUCUUUCAACAGAAAAAUCGCAACCUCCCUUUUUUCUCUGCCUUUUUAAGUUCGCAACACAAGACAGGGCCUUUCAUUCCCUUGUUAAUUCAUUUCCCCCCAUUUUUUUCUACUUGUUCUCUGGUUUUAUACGUUCUUUCUUCUUUGUUUUGGGGGGAUAAUAAAGUAGAUAUCUUUCUUUAUCUUUAUUAUUAUUAUUUUAUAGUUUAUAUUCUGUUCCCUGUUAAUUUGAAUCUCUUUUCUUCAUGGGUAAUUUUGUAAGAACUUCCUUGGCCAUUAUUGUGGCAUGGUUCAGCCUUUUUCAAGGACUUUUGGUAGCUGUUAAUGGGCAUUUUAAUUAUAAGGAAGCCCUUACCAAGUCCAUACUUUUCUUGGAAGCACAAAGAUCGGGAAAACUCCCACCACACAAUAGGAUACCAUGGAGAGGAGAUUCUGCCCUUGAUGAUGGUAAACUUGAAAAUGCGGACCUAUCUGGGGGAUACUAUGACGCAGGAGACAAUGUAAAAUAUGGUUUGCCAAUGGCUUUUACCGUUACAACACUAUCAUGGAGUGCUAUAGCAUAUAAGAAAGAAUUAGAAGCCGCCUGCGAGAUGGAAAAUGUGCGUGCCGGUAUCAAAUGGGGCACGGAUUAUUUUCUAAAAGCCAGCAGUAGACGAAACCGUUUGUAUGUGCAGGUGGGAGACCCAGUAGCGGAUCAUCAAUGUUGGGUGCGACCAGAAAAUAUGAAGACACCAAGAACUGUGUUGAAGAUUGAUGCGAAUCAACCUGGAACAGAGAUUGCAGCAGAAACUGCAGCUGCAAUGGCUUCUGCUUCCAUUGUUUUUAGACCCUCAAAUCGUACCUAUGCUCGUCGUCUCCUCAACAAAGCCAAACUGCUUUUCAAUUUUGCCAAAUCACACAAAGGAACUUAUGAUGGAGAAUGCCCAUUCUAUUGCUCUUUCUCUGGCUACAACGAUGAGCUUAUGUGGGCUGCAACUUGGUUAUACAUGGCGAGCAAGAAGGCCGUGUACUUGAAAUACAUUACAGACGAAUCUAUUAAUGCUAAUGUUGCUGAGUUUAGCUGGGACCUUAAAUACGCUGGAGCCCAAGUCCUGCUUUCCGAGUUCUUCUUUCGAGGAGAGAAGGGUUUAACCCCACAUAAAAAUGCAGCUGAUAGUUUUGUAUGUUCAGUACUCCCUGAUAGCCCAUUUCAUCAACUUUAUGUCACUCCAGGUGGCAUGCUUCACUUGAGAGAUGGGGCCAACACUCAAUAUGUUACAGGCACAGCUUUAUUGUUUGCCACCUACAGUGACAUCCUAAAGGAUCACAAUCAACAUGUCAUCUGUGGAAACAAGCAAUUUGACUCAACCGCCCUCCUGAACUUUGCCAGGCAACAGAUGGAUUACUUGCUAGGGAACAACCCGCUAAAAAGAUCAUUCAUGGUUGGAUUUGGAAACAACCCACCAACGCAACCACACCACAGAGGCGCUUCCGUUCCAAUGUCGGAAGCAAAAGACGAUGUGAGCUGCCCCAUGAGCUUUGUGAACUGGCUCCAGAGGAGUGGACCAAACCCUAAUGAGCUAACGGGUGCAUUUGUGGGUGGACCUGACAAAUACGACAACUUCGUGGACAAACGAACUGAUUCAUCCUAUACCGAGCCAUGCACCUACGUCAACUCUCAGGCAGUCGGUGUUCUGGCAAAGUUGGCAUCGUCUCACUAGUAUCAGUUGGAUUGUACUGUGUCUGUAUGUAUCAUGUAAUUUCAUUUCAUUUAAUCGUGUUCAGAAUUUUUUGCAAGCAAUGCAAAAUUUUUUAUUUCACUACGUGGAUUUUUCAUUAGCUUGCUUCAUCAUCAACUGUUAUCUUUUUUAAUUAUAUAUAUAUAUAUAUCUGAAAAAACAAAAUAUAUAUUGGCUGACAUUAUUUUGUUUUUUUUU
rnacentral:misc_RNA from 1 species